GAUGAACGCUGGCUACAGGCUUAACACAUGCAAGUCGAGGGGAAACGACGGGGAAGCUUGCUUCCCCGGGCGUCGACCGGCGCACGGGUGAGUAACGCGUAUCCAACCUGCCUCUGACUGAGGGAUAACCCGUCGAAAGUCGGCCUAAUACCUCAUGGUAUCGUCUGCGGGCAUCCAACGACGAUUAAAGAUUUCAUCGGUCAGGGAUGGGGAUGCGUCUGAUUAGCUUGUUGGCGGGGUAACGGCCCACCAAGGCUACAAUCAGUAGGGGUUCUGAGAGGAAGGUCCCCCACAUUGGAACUGAGACACGGUCCAAACUCCUACGGGAGGCAGCAGUGAGGAAUAUUGGUCAAUGGGCGAGAGCCUGAACCAGCCAAGUAGCGUGCAGGAAGACGGCCCUAUGGGUUGUAAACUGCUUUUAUGCGGGGAUAAAGUGAGGGACGUGUCCCUCAUUGCAGGUACCGCAUGAAUAAGGACCGGCUAAUUCCGUG
rnacentral:rRNA from 1 species